rnacentral:rRNA from 1 species
CCGGGGGCAUCUAUAAUGCAGUCGAGCGGACCAAUGAAGAGCUUGCUCUUCGGCGGUUAGCGGCGGACGGGUGAGUAACACGUAGGCAACCUGCCUGUACGACUGGGAUAACUCCGGGAAACCGGAGCUAAUACCGGAUACUUCUUUCAGACCGCAUGGUCUGAAAGGGAAAGACCUUUGGUCACGUACAGAUGGGCCUGCGGCGCAUUAGCUAGUUGGUGGGGUAACGGCCUACCAAGGCGACGAUGCGUAGCCGACCUGAGAGGGUGAUCGGCCACACUGGGACUGAGACACGGCCCAGACUCCUACGGGAGGCAGCAGUAGGGAAUCUUCCGCAAUGGACGAAAGUCUGACGGAGCAACGCCGCGUGAACGAUGAAGGUUUUCGGAUCGUAAAGUUCUGUUGUUAGGGAAGAACCGCCGGGAUGACCUCCCGGUCUGACGGUACCUAACGAGAAAGCCCCGGCUAACUACGUGCCAGCAGCCGCGGUAAUACGUAGGGGGCAAGCGUUGUCCGGAAUUAUUGGGCGUAAAGCGCGCGCAGGCGGCUUCUUAAGUCAGGUGUGAAAGCCCACGGCUCAACCGUGGAGGGCCACUUGAAACUGGGAAGCUUGAGUGCAGGAGAGGAGAGCGGAAUUCCACGUGUAGCGGUGAAAUGCGUAGAGAUGUGGAGGAACACCCGUGGCGAAAGGCGGCUCUCUGGCCUGUAACUGACGCUGAGGCGCGAAAGCGUGGGGAGCGAACAGGAUUAGAUACCCUGGUAGUCCACGCCGUAAACGUGAGUGCUAGGUGUUGGGGACUCCAAUCCUCAGUGCCGCAGCUAACGCAAUAAGGCACUCCGGCCUUGGGGAGUACGGUCGCAAGCUUGAACUCAAGGAACUGGACGGACCCGCACAGCGGUGAGCAUGUGUCAUUCGAGCACCGAGAACCUGACAGGCUUGAACAU